UUAACUGGAAAAUGUCGACUUACGUUCCCAAGCCAUCGCGCGACAACGUGUACCGGUUCUUCUUCACGGAGGGCGUGAUCGCGUGCAAGAAGGACCGCAUGGGCACCUGGACGGGCACCCUCGGCGGCAACACCUUCACGGUUCCGUGCAUUCAGGUGAUGCAGUUGAUGCGCUCUCUGAAGAGCCGCAACCUGAUCAAGGAGCAGUACGCGUGGCGCCACUACUACUGGACGCUCAACGACGAAGGUAUUGCGUACAUGCGCAGCUACCUGCAUCUCGCUCCGUCUGCGAUGCCGAACACGCAGAAGCCGAGCAGCGUGAACUUCGAGAAGGUGACAGAGGGCCGCGGCCGCGGUCGUGGCCGUGGUGGCCGCGGACGUGGCGAGGGCCGUGGCCGCGGGCGUGGUGAGGGCCGUGGCCGUGGUCGUGGCCGUGGCUUCGGUGGCGAGCGCACGAACUACCGUGCCGCUGCCGCUGCAUCGGAUGGUGAGGCCGCCCCAGCCCCGGCUGCGGAGUAAGUGACCAGUGCGCGAUCGCACAAACUACCUGUGUGUGUGCGAGAGGACCGUCUUCCAUUAACAAUGUAGGACAUGCCAUGUGUGCCAGCAUUGCUUUUUUUAAGGUUUCUUUCUCUUGUUUGAUGCGGUGCCGCAUCACUUAUUUCG
rnacentral:misc_RNA from 1 species